rnacentral:rRNA from 1 species
GACCUCAAAUCAGGUAGGACUACCCGCUGAACUUAAGCAUAUCAAUAAGCGGAGGAAAAGAAACUAACAAGGAUUCCCCUAGUAACUGCGAGUGAAGCGGGAAAAGCUCAAAUUUAAAAUCUGAGGGUCUCUAUGGGCCU